AGCAGUAAUUUCUCCGAGAGCACCCGGUGGUCCAGAAUCAUCAUAGGCCCAUUUUCCAUCAACAUAUUCGAGAACUAUACAAGAAACAACACAAUAUAAGAUGACAGACAAAGAGAAAGACUUGAGGUAACGAUAUACAAAGCAGAGGGAAAGAAAUACCCAUGUAAAAAUCAUCAAACUCAGGGUCAUCAAUCACCUCAAUGAGAUUAACGAUAUUAGGAUGCUCCAGGGUUUUCAUAAUCA
rnacentral:sRNA from 1 species